CUCCGCGGCACGUGGGAUCUUCCUGGACCAGGGCACGAACCCAUGUCCCCUGCAUCGGCAGGCGGGCUCUCAACCACUGCGCCACCAGGGAAGCCCCGUUGCUUACUUUUUUGAUAGACAGGAGUCACAAAAGCAUUUAGCUAACAAUGAAUGAAAUGAUUACUGCAAAUGGCUUGUGUGAGAAAUAAGAUCAUCAUCAUCAUCAUCAUGAACAGCUGACAUUACCUUUUCUACGUGUCAAACAGAAAACGAUACCUUACUUACAUAUCUUACUAUCUACUUACUAUAUACUUUACAGAGGAAGAAAAGUGAGCCCCAGAGAAUUAAGUGACUUUUCAAAUCAUUUAGACUUGUGUCAGUUAAACUUAGCAGAAAACUUGAAGACUUGUGGAUUAAACACAUAGAGACUUACUUUUCUUGCAUAAGAAUCCUGGCUGCUGGAGCUUCCAGGGUUGCUUCAGCAGCCUGACAGCAUUAGGGCUGCCUUCUCCUUGCGUCACAGGUACAAUAAGGCUGCUGAUUCUCCUGGGCUACAUGUCUGUGUUCAAGAGAGGAAGAGAGUGGGGGAGGGUACAGUCAGCUUCUCUGUCCCUUUUAUCAGGAAAACAAAAGCUUUUUUAGAAAUCUCUUCCAGACUUCAGCCUACCUUUCCUUGAUCAGACCUGUAUAAGAUGGCUCCGCCCUAACUGCAGAGGAAGCUCUGAAAACCAGCGUUUAAUCUUUUCAUUGUGGAGGCUGCAGAGGAGGAGUAAUUCCCCUUCCGUUAACCUAGCCAGAGGGCCCUGCUGCUUUGCCUAAGAUCCAAUAACUCUUCAGUGGCAGAGCUGAGAUUCUAACCCAGGUGUAUCUUGCUCCAAAGCCUAUUUCUCCAACUCUGCCUCUCAAAGAAUCAAGACCCCAUCACAAACAUUUUGAAUAACCAUUUUCCAACUUCCGUAUGCAGGCACAGUUUUUCUUCUUGAAAUUUUGUAUUUUUCAGAAUAAAAAUUUAUUUACCUUGUUAGUCUGGCUGAAUUUUGAAGGUAUAGGUUAUGUGUCCCUCCCUAUCUUCAAAUAAAAAUAUAAACCCCAAAUUAGUGACUGAAUGCUUUUUCUAUUAGAAAUGAUUACCAAGAUAUGUUUAUUUCAGGGAAUUUCUGAUAACAUUUUUCAGUUUUCUAUAGUAAAAAAACAUAAUACAUCAUUAAGGUAGUGAGGUUUUGCCUCUUUCCGUUCUAAUUAUUAUGUUUUAACUCAUGGUAAAUGAGUUUGUUCUAUGCUCAUUUCCUAAGGGGUGGUUAUCCACUGAUUUCAUUUUCUGGAAUAAAGUUAUGUCACAAUU